AGUGAACGCUGGCGGUAGGCCUAACACAUGCAAGUCGAACGGCAGCACAGUAAGAGCUUGCUCUUACGGGUGGCGAGUGGCGGACGGGUGAGGAAUACAUCGGAAUCUACUUUUUCGUGGGGGAUAACGUAGGGAAACUUACGCUAAUACCGCAUACGACCUACGGGUGAAAGCAGGGGAUCUUCGGACCUUGCGCGAUUGAAUGAGCCGAUGUCGGAUUAGCUAGUUGGCGGGGUAAAGGCCCACCACGGUGACGAUCCGUAGCUGGUCUGAGAGGAUAAUCAGCCACGUUGGACCUGAGACACGGGCCAAAGUCUUAUGGGAGGCAGCAGUGGGGAAAAUUGGACAAGGGGCGGAAGCUGGAACCAGCCAUACAGCGUGGGUGAAUAAGGCAUUCGGGUUGUAAAGCCUUUUUGUAGGGAAAAAAGAGCAGCAGGUUAUGGCCCCCCUGUUCUGACGGUACCGAAAGAAUAAGCACCGGAUAACUUCGG
rnacentral:rRNA from 1 species